rnacentral:rRNA from 1 species
UACGUAGGAGGCAAGCGUUGUCCGGAAUUACUGGGUGUAAAGCGCGUGUAGGCGGCAGACUAAGUCUGUGGUGAAAUCGCUCGGCUCAACUGGGCGGGGUCCAUGGAAACUAGUCAGCUGGAGGACGGUAGAGGUGAGUGGAAUUCCCGGUGUAGUGGUGAAAUGCGUAGAGAUCGGGAGGAACACCCGUGGCGAAGGCGGCUCACUGGGGGUUUUGCUGACGCUGAGGACGAAAGCCAGGGUAGGCGAAGCGGG